AAAAAAGAAGCGGAUAUAUAAGACACAAUGACAAAUGCAAUGACGUUUAAAUUAUAGAGAAGAAGAAAUAUUCUAGGAGGACUACAAAAGCUAUUUAUAUCUAGAGAGCGCUAACACAGAACAAUACAGAAACCGGAUCACAGGCACAAAAUAGGCAUUACUCAAGAGGUGCCAAGAACAAGUAAAAUCAGAUGAACAGUUUCUGGAAGAUUCUAUGAUUCCUAAAAAUUUAUAAAAUAGAAUAGUUCAACUCUACAAAGGAAAAAAAAAAAUGAGCAUUUUGCCGCCAGCAAGCUAAUCCAUAAAUGGAGCAAGUUGUUUGCUAAAAUAAAUAGCACAACCCUGACUUGCACUGUAAGAUAAAAGAGCUUUCACAUGUUUCCUGAAUGCCAGAAAACCUCAUGAUGAGGCAUUAAUUCAUCACUCCAAAUUUCAUUACAAUGAUUGCACUCCUAUGCUAUAUUGAAGAUUCACCAUCACUUACUGCCCCUUUCUUGAGGAAAAGUACACAGACAGAUCAAAAAGUACAGUUUGGACUAGCACAAUUACAUAUUCUGUUUAAUUAUGUAGCCCAGUAAAUGCAACUUCUUAUGCUGCAUUAGCAUCAAACGUGCCAUUUCAAAAUGAUUUAUCCGGGCUACUCACUAACUACCAUCAAAAAACAAAAAGGCAACUCCUGUAGUUCAACAAGGUCCCGAGAGAAAACAAAGAAAAACAUGAUUCUUCUAAUGAUCCUAUUUGACAAGGUAAGACUACCAAUGUGAUUGUUUAGACAUCCACCUUUUCUUUCAACACUUUCUAAGGAUAAAAGUGAACAUGCAUAGCUAACAACCAAGACGCUGAUCCUUAAAGCACCAGCAGUUCUAAUCAUUAGCUAAAAACUAAGAUCAGCACACCAUACUUAAAGGUGAAUACAAGCCAACAAUUAAUUGAAAUCAUUUCAAGCCGUUUGGUGAUGUGGUGCAGGGUGUUUUUCAAUUGAAAAUACAUUAAAAUGAUGUUUUUUU